ACGGUCAAAUCACGCUGAAAACACCGGUUCUCGUUCGAUCACCGAAGUUAAGCAUCGUAGAGCCAGGUCAGUACUUACUU